rnacentral:lncRNA from 1 species
UGGAAUAAGAUGGAGUGGGAUUGCGUGGAUACAGUGGGGUGGGAUGGAUUGAAUGGGAUGGGACACAUUGGAUGGAAUGGAUAGGAUAGGAUAGGAUAGGAUAGGAUAGGAUAGGAUAGGAUAGGAUAGGAUAGGAUAGGAUAGGAUAGGGUAGGGUAGGGUAGGGUAGGGUAGGGUAGGGUAGGGUAGGGUAGGGUAGGAUAACUUGUAAAAAAGAGAUUGGGUAGGAUGAGAUGAGUUGGUUGGGAUAAGGUAGGAUGGGAUUGGCUGAACAGAAUGGAAUGGGAUGGAACGGGUUGAGAUGGUACAGAAUGUAUUAGGAUGUGUUGGGAUGAGAAGUACUAGGAUAGAGUGAGAUGGUAUGGAGUGGGAUGGGCUGGUUUCUCCAGGCAGAAACCAGCACAGGAAAGUAACCAAGAGUCCCCUGGUACCCCAGACCUCAUCCCUCGUACAUCUCUGAUUAGCAGCACUCAGAUGGACUAGUGCCACUCAUUGAGUGCAGCGUGCUCCAACCACCCCACAUGCACCAUGAGGGUCUGACUCAGUCCGAUUCUUUCUUGGAUGCUUUGUAUGCUGAAGCAGCCUGGCAUGCCCUGCACGGGACCUUGGGCUUGGAAUCUGGAUGUGUCCAUCCACUGAAGGCUCCUACACCUCAAACAGAGUGUUCUGCUUCCUUCCCCAAGGCAAGUGAAGGGCUG